GGGCGAAUGGCGGAAUUGGUAGACGCGCUAGCUUCAGGAGCUAGUGUCCGCAAGGACAUGGAGGUUCAAGUCCUCUUUCGCCCACCA
rnacentral:tRNA from 1 species